rnacentral:rRNA from 1 species
CCUACGGGAGGCAGCAGUGGGGAAUAUUGGGCAAUGGGCGCAAGCCUGACCCAGCAACGCCGCGUGAAGGAAGAAGGCUUUCGGGUUGUAAACUUCUUUUGUCAGGGACGAAGCAAGUGCCGGUACCUGACGAAUAAGUCACUGCUAACUACGGGCCAGCAGCCUCGGUAAUACGUAGGGGGCAAGCGUUAUCCGGAUUUAUUGGGUGUAAAGGGCGUGUAGGCGGGAAUGCAAGUCAGAUGUGAAAACUAUGGGCUCAACCCAUGGACUGCAUUUGAAACUGUAUUUCUUGAGUGCUGGAGAGGCAAUCGGAAUUCCGGGUGUAGCGGUGAAAUGCGUAGAUAUACGGAGGAACACCAGUGGCGAAGGCGGAUUGCUGGACUGUAACUGACGCUGAGGCGCGAAAGCGUGGGGAGCAAACAGGAUUAGAUACCCCUGUAGUC